rnacentral:rRNA from 1 species
AGGACGAACGCUGGCGGCGUGCUUAACACAUGCAAGUCGAGCGGAAAGGCCCUUCGGGGUACUCGAGCGGCGAACGGGUGAGUAACACGUGAGCAACCUGCCCCUGGCUCUGGGAUAGCCUCCGGAAAACGGGGAUUAAUACCGGACAUGACCCUUGACCGCACGGUUGGGGGUGGAAAGUUUUUCGGCCAGGGUGGGCUCGCGGCCUAUCAGCUUGUUGGGGGGUGACGGCCCACCAAGGCGACGACGGGUAGCC